UCCACCCUGAGGUGGAAACUCUUCCCCUCAUGGUGCAGAGACUGCCAGCUUGACCCAGCUAACUGCUCAGUUGGUACAGUUCUGGAGUUUCUACAAGCCAGGCUCUUUGCAGGGUUGACCCUCUCGAUGGUCAGUCUUUGGGAAGACACCCCUUAAGCCAGGAACACACCAAGCCGACGCAGAUGAACUAGUGGCAACGAAAACAGACUGCAGGAUCGCCUCACAUCGGCAGCGUCUGUGUCCAGAUUUGCCCUGACACACCAAGCCGAUUCUCGACACCUGAUGGCCAACUAGCACGUUUGUUCUGCGCCUGCGUAGGAAAUACCUUUCCGUACCAGCAGGUGGCAGUAGUCUUGGCAGUAGUUACUCAAAGCGGGAAACCGGAAGAAGCUACAGGGAUACAAAACAUAUACAAAGAUAAAGCAAAUCAGAGUCUCACUAUCCACAGAAGGAUUUGUGAUAUUUUGGAAAUGUCUGACAAGUUGCAAAUGGCACUGGCAUUGUCAGCGCUUGGUAUUUUGCUUGUGGAAAAGGAAAGACAGAAUCAGACGUGAAAAAUACGCAGAAAGCGCACUAAAUGAGUGAAACCAUGGAUUCUCCAGAAACAGGUUCAUGGGCUUUCCCGAACCUGUGUAGAGAGCUGGAACUAGAUGAAACCUCCUAUUUAAAAAAAAUUUGCACAGCUUUUUCCGACUCAAUUUAACACUUUAAAUGAACUUAUCACUCCAAUUAUACAGAGGAAAAACAUGAACUACCAGGAUUGCAUCUCAGUUGGGGAACAUCUGAUGAUAACACUACGGUUCCUGGCAACAGGAGAAAGCUUCAAGAGCCUUUCUUACCAGUUCCGAGUGGGAAUGUCUACGAUUCAGCAAUUCGUUCCUGAAACCUGUGCAGCAAUCUUCCAGGUCUUAAAAGAGAAAAAUCCCUGAAGUGCCCAGACACAGUGGAAGAGUGGCAGCGAGUUGCCAUUGGAUUCCAGGCUCAGUGGAACUUCCCAAACUGCCUGGGUGCUCUGGAUGGGAAACACAUCGUCCCCCACCAGGAACUGGAUCGACAUUUUACAAUUACAAUCGUACAUUUUCCAUUGUUCUAAUGGCACUGGUUGACAGCAAUUACAGAUUCCUUUAUGUGGGACUUCCUGAAACUGACCAGCUGGCCCCUUACUGCAUUGUGGCAGAUGAGGCAUUUCCCUUGAAGGAAUACCUCAUGAAGCCAUAUCCGAACUGCAGGCUAUCUGUUGAGCAACGCAUAUUCAACUACAGGCUUUCGCGAGCUCGGAGGGUGGUUGAAAAUGCAUUUGGCAUCCUGGCAAAUCACUUUAGAGUUUUUCUAACUACCAUUAAUAUUCAAAACACUGCCAAAGUUGAGGACAUUGUGUUGGCUUGCUGUGCUCUGCACAACUUUCUGCGUACAGAGUGCUGUGAAGCAUAUAUGGCAGCAAUUGACCAGGAAUAGAUCAAGACCCCAGCCUAGAGCAGGCCUCUCUGCCAAACACAACUAACAGUACUACAUAUGCCAAACAGCUCAGGGAUAAACUUUGCCAGUACUUUAAUUCAGACAUUGGUGCAUUCCCCUUUCAAUGGGGCAAAAUAUAAGACACUGAGUCACUGCAGUGUGCUCCAAAAGUGGGAAUGAAAACUCUGUUAUCUGUGUGUGUGUUUGUGUGUCUCCGUGUGUGUUGUGUAACCUUCAAGAAAUAAAAUCUAUAAUUUUCUAAUUCAAAACAUACGUUUGUAUAUAUUUGUUCAUUGGUUUAAAUGCAUG